rnacentral:rRNA from 1 species
UACGUAGGGUGCGAGCGUUAAUCGGAAUUACUGGGCGUAAAGCGUGCGCAGGCUGUUCUGUAAGUCAGAUGUGAAAAUCCCCGAGCUCAACUUGGGAACUGCGUUUGAAACUACAGGACUAGAAUAUGUCAGAGGGGGGGUAGAAUUCCACGUGUAGCAGUGAAAUGCGUGAGAGAUGUGGAGGAAUACCAAUGGCGAAGGCAGCCCCCUGGGAUAAUAUUGACGCUCAUGCACGAA